GGAUAACAUACCGAAAGGUAUGCUAAUACGGGAUAAUAUAUUUGAGAGGCAUCUCUUAAAUAUCAAAGGUGAGCCAGUACAGGAUGGACCCGCGUCUGAUUAGCUAGUUGGUAAGGUAACGGCUUACCAAGGCGACGAUCAGUAGCCGACCUGAGAGGGUGAUCGGCCACAUUGGAACUGAGACACGGUCCAAACUCCUACGGGAGGCAGCAGUGGGGAAUAUUGCACAAUGGGCGAAAGCCUGAUGCAGCAACGCCGCGUGAGUGAUGAAGGCCUUCGGGUCGUAAAACUCUGUCCUCAAGGAAGAUAAUGACGGUACUUGAGGAGGAAGCCCCGGCUAACUACGUGCCAGCAGCCGCGGUAAUACGUAGGGGGCUAGCGUUAUCCGGAUUUACUGGGCGUAAAGGGUGCGUAGGCGGUCUUUCAAGUCAGGAGUGAAAGGCUACGGCUCAACCGUAGUAAGCUCUUGAAACUGGGAGACUUGAGUGCAGGAGAGGAGAGUGGAAUUCCUAGUGUAGCGGUGAAAUGCGUAGAUAUUAGGAGGAACACCAGUUGCGAAGGCGGCUCUCUGGACUGUAACUGACGCUGAGGCACGAAAGCGUGGGGAGCAAACAGGAUUAGAUACCCUGGUAGUCCACGCUGUAAACGAUGAAUACUAGGUGUCGGGGGUUACCCCCUUCGGUGCCGCA
rnacentral:rRNA from 1 species